AUUGAACGCUGGCGGCAUGCCUUACACAUGCAAGUCGAACGGCAGCGGGGGAGAAGCUUGCUUUUCCUGCCGGCGAGUGGCGAACGGGUGAGUAAUACAUCGGAACGUGCCCUGUAGUGGGGGAUAACUAGUCGAAAGAUUAGCUAAUACCGCAUACGACCUGAGGGUGAAAGUGGGGGACCGCAAGGCCUCAUGCUAUAGGAGCGGCCGAUGUCUGAUUAGCUAGUUGAUGGGGUAAAGGCCUACCAAGGCGACGAUCAGUAGCUGGUCUGAGAGGACGAUCAGCCACACUGGGACUGAGACACGGCCCAGACUCCUACGGGAGGCAGCAAUGGGGAAUUUUGGACAAUGGGCGAAAGCCUGAUCCAGCAAUGCCGCGUGUGUGAAGAAGGCCUUCGGGUUGUAAAGCACUUUUGUCCGGAAAGAAAUGGCUCUGGUUAAUGCCUGGGGUCGAUGACGGUACCGGAAGAAUAAGGACCGGCUAACUACGUGCCAGCCGCCGCGGUAA
rnacentral:rRNA from 1 species